UACAGAGGUCCCGAGCGUUGUUCGGAUUCACUGGGCGUAAAGGGUGCGUAGGGGGUUGGGUAAGUCUGAUGUGAAAUCUCCGGGCUCAACCCGGAAAUGGCAUUGGAUACUAUUCGGCUAGAGGUUUGGAGGGGGGACUGGAAUUCUCGGUGUAGCAGUGAAAUGCGUAGAUAUCGAGAGGAACACCAGUGGCGAAGGCGAGUCCCUGGACAACACCUGACACUGAGGCACGAAAGCUAGGGGAGCAAACAGG
rnacentral:rRNA from 1 species